UACGGGGGGGCAAGCGUUGUUCGGAAUUACUGGGCGUAAAGGGCGCGCAGGCGGCUGCUCAAGUCAGGCGUGAAAGGCCUGGGCUCAACCCGGGAAUUGCGCUUGAGACUGGGCUGGCUUGAGUGCGGGAGAGGAUGGUGGAAUUCCCAGUGUAGAGGUGAAAUUCGUAGAUAUUGGGAAGAACACCGGUGGCGAAGGCGGCCAUCUGGACCGCAACUGACGCUGAGGCGCGAAAGCGUGGGGAGCGAACAGG
rnacentral:rRNA from 1 species